UAGAGGUUGGAGUAUCAGGGUGUUCAGUAUUUAACGCGGCAUUUGUUAAAUAUAAUGAUGCAAAUAUUAAUAUAAUUCAUCAAAAAUACCUUCUCACAUUCUCAAACCUAUCAAUAUCAUAUAAGCAAGAAGCUGGUGAUGAACUGCACUGAAGAAAAGAGCAUGCUUGUUGCAAAAAUGUUUUAUUCUUCUUUUUGUUGAUAAUUUGAUUUUUAAUUAAAAUUUUGCACACAU